CACCUACCUUCACCUGAAGGAAGGUUAAAAGAUGGCUUCUCGCUAUCACUUACAGAUGGGCCCGCGGCGCAUUAGCUAGUUGGUGAGGUAAUAGCUCACCAAGGCGACGAUGCGUAGCCGACCUGAGAGGGUGAUCGGCCACACUGGGACUGAGACACGGCCCAGACUCCUACGGGAGGCAGCAGUAGGGAAUCUUCCGCAAUGGACGAAAGUCUGACGGAGCAACGCCGCGUGAACGAUGAAGGUCUUCGGAUCGUAAAGUUCUGUUGUUAGGGAAGAACAAGUACCGUGCGAACAGAGCGGUACCUUGACGGUACCUAACGAGGAAGCCCCGGCUAACUACGUGCCAGCAGCCGCGGUAAUACGUAGGGGGCAAGCGUUGUCCGGAAUUAUUGGGCGUAAAGCGCGCGCAGGUGGUUUCUUAAGUCUGAUGUGAAAGCCCACGGCUCAACCGUGGAGGGUCAUUGGAAACUGGGGAACUUGAGGACAGAAGAGGAGAGUGGAAUUCCACGUGUAGCGGUGAAAUGCGUAGAUAUGUGGAGGAACACCAGUGGCGAAGGCGACUCUCUGGUCUGUUUCUGACGCUGAGGUGCGAAAGCGUGGGUAGCAAACAG
rnacentral:rRNA from 1 species